UAUCUGGUUGAUCCUGCCAGUAGUCAUAUGCUUGUCUCAAAGAUUAAGCCAUGCAUGUCUAAGUACAAACCUUAAUACGGUGAAAACGCGAAUGGCUCAUUAAAUCAGCUAUGGUUCCUUAGAUCGUCUCAUCCUACUCGGAUAACUGUGGAAAA
rnacentral:ncRNA from 1 species